rnacentral:lncRNA from 1 species
GUUAGGUGAACCAUAUCCUCACAAUUGCUCAUAUAAACUAUUCAGAAUAUGUGAAAAAUCAUCUCAUGAUGACUCCAUGUGCUGAGAGAAUAUGAGAAACAUUUUGAUACAGACUACUAAAACUAUACCUAAAAGUUUACAUACACAGAUUAAUUUGUGUCUUUGUAAACAUUUUAUCUCAAAGUUUAAUUAAUAAAAAGAAAAUCAUGUCAAAUUACUAGUGAUGUUUCUCACUAUGUUACUCUUUAGUUAUGGUUGUCUUCACUAGCAUAAGAACUAUGACUCGGAAUCCUCUCCCAAAGCUAAGUUGCUGAGUGUACUAUGGUAAAUGAUUUGAAGUUUUUGUUUACAUCUCCAGGCAUAGGUAUUGAAUUUUGUUCAGGAUAGUUCAAAACAUCUUUUUUGAGCAGUGAAAGUGCAGCUAGAAUGGGAACAAUUCUUCAUUUUUCCCAAUCUACUGUUCAAUUCUUUCAUUUGACUGUUUCGAACACUAAUGAUUUAGUAGCUGAAGAUAUAAUUAUUAGUUGAAAUGAAAGGGAUGAGGACUUAAAAAUCACUGGGGUUCCUCAGGUUUAACAAUGGUUAAGUACUGUCAAUCUUUUUAUUUAUGAGUAAUGUAAAAGAAGGCCAGUUAAUAUAAAUGUUAUAAAUUUAGGCACUAACCUCUAGUUUUUCUAUUGAUACUACAUUUACUUGCUUCUCUUUUUUCUUAUUUGAGCUCUGUUAUGUAGAUCGUUCACUUAUUUGAAUUCUGAUGAAGGGAGGUCAUUCACCGAAGGAAGAUUUACUCAUAUGUCAUGCAUACCAUUGAAAUCAGAUUAAUGUUUGUUUCAUCUAAGUGCUUAGCAACCUUCUCUGUACAACCAAUGGUAGCAUGCUUGAUAUGGAAAAUUUGAUAGUAUGGAUAGUAUUAUAAAUGUAAUAAGCUAAAGUUUUUAUCAUUUUAUUGUUUAUAUAUAACCAACAAUGCUUACUAAAAUGCACCAAGAUUGUUUUGAGAUAUUGUUUGAUCAAUUGCUUCUCCUUUUCAUUUAUCUUUUUAAUUUGAUUAUCUUUAUUAAUGAAUUUAUCAUUCAGUAUUCUGUAUAAAAAUGGCAUAGUCGCAAAAGAUAAGAAACUUUGCCUAAUUUUUACUAAGUUGUAAAAGUCUAUGAAAUUUAGUGGAUGCAUUAAUUGGGAAUACUAACCCGUAAGGUGGUUUGCAAGUUCAUAAGAUAUUUGGCAACAUAUGGACUAAGAUUGCAAAGGUGAUUUCAAGUAGGUAACAAUAUAAUUCAAGAAUUUUCUUAGUAUUAUGUUGAAUUUUAUGAGAAAUAGUUUUUAUAAUAAAUAUAUACAUCCUAUGUUACUUUUCUCGUACAGAAUUGAUAAUGUCUAAAGAAUCGGUUCACGAAUUUGUGUAAGAAGAAAGCAAAGUACAAAGCCUUGGCAAAAGAAAACAAAGCUUCAUACAUCAACAUAAACAACAAAAAGUUUAUUUUUCCAAAUGGAUUCAAUGCAGAGGAAGCAUCUGAAUAAGCAGCAUCUCUAAAAAUGAUGAGUUAGAUUAAUUUAACCCUUUCCAGAAAAUGUUGUUGAUAUCAAAAUUCAGCUAAACAGCAUUAAUUUUUUUGGUUAAUAGGGCACACAUAUCAAAUCCUACUGAUAAUUGCCCACAAGGAGAAAAAAUAGUUACAAACUAUCUAUUUAGACCCCUUUUUGCAGUACUGGCACAGGAUAAAUUGUUGACUCACUUUUCCUUGACCAAUUUGUGCAGUGGUUGGUUUUGAUCCUUGACUGAUUAUAAUUAACAUUGUAGUAUUCUUGUUCAGAAACAAACAGAUCUUAUACUGAAUGCUAUUGAUUUGGAUGCUAUGUGGCUAUGCCAGAGGGGGAGAAUUAUGUCGUUGAUGAUGCAACUGGUGCUGAAAAGGUCAAUUGAUUGCUCUAAUUUGUUUUUGUUUUUGUUUUUUUUUUUUCCUUUUUUGAUGUAAAUGUUGGAUUUAAGUAUUUAUAAUAUCUCUUAUUUUCCUACCUGUUUCUCCAUUACAUCCUGUCGUAGUUUUUUUAGUACAGGGAUUUGUAGAUAAACUUGUUAUAUAAUGAAAAUUUAAUGGAAACUCCACUCUAAGGUAGAAUGCAGUAUCUUUUGAACUUGAAUGUUUGCAUAUCGCGUAGCCAGUCUAUAAAAUGUUUGAGAAAUUUCUUUAAUUCUAUUAGUUGGAUAGCUUUCUAUUCAAUUUGCUUUUAAUUCGUGGCUUGCCUACUUUACACCGGUGCAAUUUGCAUUACAACAUAUUGAGUUUCUUUGAAAUGAGUUACAUCAAGAAGUAUAAAGGAAAACUAAUAUAACUUCCAACUUAUUGGGUUAUUUUUGGAAAAACAUACAUCAAUGCCUCUUAUUUUUAUGGGAUUGGUCUAUAAAUUUAGUUUAACGCGGAAUGUAUUUCAGUGACAAAUUUAAUUUGUUGGACUAUCUGUUUAAUAACAUGUUUGUGAGUUGUUCAUAAUCCGGUUAAUUAAAUAUAUAGGAACCAGUGAUGGAUAAUUAGGUAGUACUUGUGGGUCCUGCAAAAUGUGUUUACAAAAUGUGGUUGGACCGAUUAUAAAUAGUUCAUGAACAUUAGCCAAACAUGGGCUUGAAACCUAAAUCUAUUCAUUCGAUAAAUUUCUUUAAUCUUUAGUUAUGUGCAUUUUGACUUUUAAGUCUUUGUCUGGCACUGGUUGUCCUGUGGAUGGGAAGGUACUGAUAAGGUCUAGGCAUAUAGUUUUUGUAGUUUCUAGGUGGUCUUUCUCAUUUUGCAACUUUUCUUUUCCAUAGUAGAAUGUAAACCUAUAAUGCCAAUAAAAAUCUGUGCAUCUUACCAUGCAGUCUGCUUUGUCAUUUGAUCAAAAGAUGUCAAGUAGCAGCAUAUUUGGAACAGAGAGUGGGAGAAUACCUCGAUUAGAGUUUUUCAUACUUCAACUUUUCUCUUUAAAUGAAAAUACUCAACAGGGAUUGGAAAAGCUAAUUAAUGUCUUAAUCCAUUAAACAUGAAAUUCUUUUAUGAGAUCAAUUUAGAUUGGUUCAUGGCCCUGGGCAACAGACAUGCUACAGUGGCUAGGACAAUCGGACAUUCAUUUACUGUAAUUCACUAGAAAAUUGAAUCUAUACUUUUGGUCUUCAUCUUCGGGAUGGUUAUAAUCCAUUUUUGGAUCUCACUUCAAGUGCUGAGAAGCAGAUACCGUCAGUGAUCGAGCACUUGAAUUCAAAAUGGGAAAGUUCAAGUGUAGCACAUGGCCAACUUAUGCUCUUCCCCUGUAAUAUGAAAUCAGUGAAAAUUGCUUCAUGCAAAAGAUGGACAUAAAAUGACUAUGGCAUUACUGCAGGAGAGGUUUAUGUUUCUGUGGAAAGUCUUUCGAUUUUUCGCCUAAGAUCUGAAGCUUCUUGCCGCAACAUUGCUUUCUUCAGUUUGGGAGUUUUGUCUUUUUAUUUGUUUAUUAUAUUGCUUUCCAUCUAUGGUUGGUUCUCCAAUACUGGUGAAAAUGUUUGGAGUAGCUUUGACAGGAGCUAUAGCAAAGUUUUGAAGAUUUCAAAUGAUCAAGAGGAAAAAGCCUAGUUGAGUGUUGAAAACAUCAAAGAUCCAUUCAACAUAGUAGUAUAGUAGAUUCAAGCGUGAAUGAGCUAAAGUCAUUGGAUAUACCGAUGAAUCAUGUGGUAAUUUUCAAUUCUCUUCUAUUCUUCUACUGAUACUCAUUUCAUUUAAGAUCAAAGUAAUCAAAUUUUGAAGUUAUUUCAAUAUAUCUAACAUCCGCAUGUUAAACUAGCUUGUUUGUCAUGCACUUCCAUCCAAUGGUCAAUAACAAGUUAGUAAAAGGACAAACAGUUGGAACAUAUAUACAGGUUUUGAUACCAUAAUAAUGGGAGAAGUCAUGAUAGGUUUUGAAUAUUUGUCGUAAAGAAUGGCAACUUUCAGUUAUCAAAUAUUACUCUCUUUCUGUUGGAUCCACUAAGGUUGAGGGAGGGAGAAUUUUGGGUUAUGAUAAGGUUUGCUAGAAACUUUUUAAUCCGAAUAAAAUUAUUUAUAGGUUUAAAAGCCUAUCUUUGUGCUAUGAGAGGUGAACGAGAAUCGUGUUUUAUGAAAGUAGAUUGAAUAGAACUUGAGAUCCAUAAUUUUUUAUUAAGAAUAAUUGGAAUUACGUAGAGAAGAAGAAAGAAUAAGAUUAUGGAAAGCAAACCUAUUUUCAGUAAUAAUCAAGGCAAGGUUCAUUAGCAAAAUCAAUAUGGAAGUUUCAAAUAAUUCAGUUUCAUUUUUAGAUUUUUUUCACACACCGUAUAUAGCUGUUACAUUUCUGUCUUUACAAGACCAGCUAUUCUGAAGUUCAUAAUUUUUUAAAAAUAUUCUGUAACACAUUAAAAUUUAAUCAAAUGAAAAUACAUAAAAACUAAUUAACUUUAAUGCUUAAAUUAGAGAAUCUUAGGUCCAAAAUCUGUUGCAUGCACUUUUUUCAAUUUUGUCUUCAUAAAUUCUGUGAUGUGAAGGGUCAAAUCCUUGGUAGAGGAGUAUAGAUGAGUUUUAACCAUCAGACUAAGACUAUAUGGGCAGCCUAUGAUACUCGGACUCGGGUAUGGGUAUCGGGUAUGGGUAAUAUCCAAGUGUCGGAUCUUUUAUUUUCUAAAAUAUAGGAUACG